UACGUAGGGUGCGAGCGUUGUCCGGAAUUAUUGGGCGUAAAGAGCUCGUAGGCGGUGUGUCGCGUCGGUCGUGAAAACUUUCAGCUUAACUGGGAGCUUGCGGUCGAUACGGGCAUCACUGGAGUUCGGCAGGGGAGACUGGAAUUCCUGGUGUAGCGGUGAAAUGCGCAGAUAUCAGGAGGAACACCGGUGGCGAAGGCGGGUCUCUGGGCAGUAACUGACGCUGAGGAGCGAAAGCGUGGGGAGCGAACAGG
rnacentral:rRNA from 1 species